CAAUAUAAAGGCCUUAAUAGAUGUGGACUGUCACAUCAGGUGAAAGGUUCGCAAUAUCACAGAUGUGAUUGUGAACGGGACUGAAUUAAAAGAAACUGAAAUACUUUAAAACAUUAAAAGCAGAUAGAAAGAGGGAAUUUAUAACUUUUCAUCUUAUAUCUUUUCAUUUUGGACCCAAAGGAAAACCAGGAUGGGUGUCGGACAGAUCAUAUCAAUUUUCCUGAUUAUAAUAGCUGCAGCAACACUUGCUGCUGCACAAA